rnacentral:rRNA from 1 species
UCGAGAAUCAUUCACAAUGGGGGAAACCCUGAUGGUGCGACGCCGCGUGGGGGAAUGAAGGUCUUCGGAUUGUAAACCCCUGUCAUGUGGGAGCAAAUUAAAAAGAUAGUACCACAAGAGGAAGAGACGGCUAACUCUGUGCCAGCAGCCGCGGUAAUACAGAGGUCUCAAGCGUUGUUCGGAAUCACUGGGCGUAAAGCGUGCGUAGGCUGUUUCGUAAGUCGUGUGUGAAAGGCGCGGGCUCAACCCGCGGACGGCACAUGAUACUGCGAGACUAGAGUAAUGGAGGGGGAACCGGAAUUCUCGGUGUAGCAGUGAAAUGCGUAGAUAUCGAGAGGAACACUCGUGGCGAAGGCGGGUUCCUGGACAUUAACUGACGCUGAGGCGCGAAGGCCAGGGGAGCGAAAGGG